UAGCCGUAAACGAUACUCGCUAGGUGUCGGCCACGGUGCGACCGUUGUCGGUGCCGUAGGGAAGCCGUGAAGCGAGCCACCUGGGAAGUACGGCCGCAAGGCUGAAACUUAAAGGAAUUGGCGGGGGAGCACAACAACGGGUGGGGCUUGCGGUUUAAUUGGAUUCAACGCCGGAAAUCUUACCGGGACCGACAGCAACAUGAAGGCCAAGCUGAAGACUUUGCCGGAUUAGCUGAGAGGAGGUGCAUGGCGUAGUCCGUGU
rnacentral:rRNA from 1 species